CACGUAGGGGGCAAGCGUUGUCCGGAUUUAUUGGGCGUAAAGAGCUCGUAGGCGGUUCGGUAAGUCGGGUGUGAAACCUCCAGGCUCAACCUGGAGACGCCACCCGAUACUGCUGUGACUAGAGUCCGGUAGGGGAGCGUGGAAUUCCUGGUGUAGCGGUGAAAUGCGCAGAUAUCAGGAGGAACACCAGCGGCGAAGGCGGCGCACUGGCCCGAGACUGACGCUGAGGCGCGAAAGCGUGGGGAGCAAACAGG
rnacentral:rRNA from 1 species